rnacentral:rRNA from 1 species
UACGGGGGGAGCAAGCGUUGUUCGGAUUUACUGGGCGUAAAGGGCGCGUAGGCGGUCGUGACAAGUCACUUGUGAAAUCUCCGGGCUUAACUCGGAACGGUCAAGUGAUACUGUCGGACUAGAGUACAGAAGGGGCAACUGGAAUUCUCGGUGUAGCGGUGAAAUGCGUAGAUAUCGAGAGGAACACCUGCGGCGAAGGCGGGUUGCUGGGCUGAUACUGACGCUGAGGCGCGAAAGCUAGGGUAGCAAACGGG